GUACCCACAUGGGUAGCUCAUAUACUAAAAUUGGAAUGAUACAGAUUAGCAUGGUCCCUGCACAAGGAUGACACAAAAAUUCAUGAAGUGUUCUGUAACGAC